GUCAGGCCCUGAGCUGCGAGUCUGUACGUCGACCUCUCCCUUGUUUUAAGCUUUUCUUCUUUUAAUUCCGGUCCUUAAGAAUGGCGCUAGAAGAAUCAUUAUAACAACUAAAAAGUACAACUAACUCCUGUUCUUAAGAAUAUACACUGGCUUCCAGGUCUCUUAUGAGCCUGAGUGUUGGUAAACAUGAGGGUGAUGCCUGCAAUGAACCGGGAGCUUGUCCAAGUCUGUUCCCUGCAUUACAACUGGUUAUACUGGGAUAGGCGCCAAUGCACUGAUGCCCUGAAUUGGAUUAGGCACGGUUUUCUGUGUUGCUGAUCUGCGCCACCACCACCUGA